GUAAGGUGACGCUUGUGGAACGAGCGGCGGACGGGUGAGUAACACGUGGGCAACCUGCCUGUAAGAUUGGGAUAACCCCGGGAAACCGGGGCUAAUACCGGAUAAUACUUUUCGUUGCAUAACGAGAAGUUGAAAGGCGGCUUUUAGCUGUCACUUACAGAUGGGCCCGCGGCGCAUUAGCUAGUUGGUAAGGUAACGGCUUACCAAGGCGACGAUGCGUAGCCGACCUGAGAGGGUGAUCGGCCACACUGGGACUGAGACACGGCCCAGACUCCUACGGGAGGCAGCAGUAGGGAAUCUUCCGCAAUGGACGAAAGUCUGACGGAGCAACGCCGCGUGAGUGAUGAAGGUUUUCGGAUCGUAAAACUCUGUUGUCAGGGAAGAACAAGUGCCGUUCAAAUAGGGCGGCACCUUGACGGUACCUGACCAGAAAGCCCCGGCUAACUACGUGCCAGCAGCCGCGGUAAUACGUAGGGGGCAAGCGUUGUCCGGAAUUAUUGGGCGUAAAGCGCGCGCAGGCGGUCCUUUAAGUCUGAUGUGAAAGCCCACGGCUUAACCGUGGAGGGCCAUUGGAAACUGGAGGACUUGAGUACAGAAGAGGAGAGUGGAAUUCCACGUGUAGCGGUGAAAUGCGUAGAGAUGUGGAGGAACACCAGUGGCGAAGGCGACUCUCUGGUCUGUAACUGACGCUGAGGUGCGAAAGCGUGGGGAGCGAACAGGAUUAGAUACCCUGGUAGUCCACGCCGUAAACGAUGAGUGCUAGGUGUUAGGGGGUUUCCGCC
rnacentral:rRNA from 1 species